CUCCUGUUGUGACAACCUACUGAUUGGUUUGUUUGGAGAGAAUUGCAGUGGAAUGGUAACCCCUUGCAAACACGGUCUUCCCAGGUGCCUGAGAGUGAUACAGAAACCUGUGUGAUCUAUGAAGGCAUGGGUGCCUUUAUUUACAGAGUUGGCAAAGAAGCCAGAGAGGAGCAGGCAGGAAGUGGUGUCAGGUGGUCCAAAGGUCAGGACUGGAAGCAAAGGAGCAAGGUCAUGAGUCAGGCUCAAGGUCAGAAGCCAGGAUAUCCAUGAAUGGAGAGCAGCAUGUCAGACAAGAAAUGGGGUCAGGGCCAAAUCCAAAGGUCAGAAGCCGAGAAGUAUUACCGAGAAUCAGGAACCAGUAACCGG